AAAGAUUAAGCCAUGCAUGUCUAAGUAAAAGCAAUUAUACCGUGAAACUGCGAAUGGCUCAUUAAAUCAGUUAUCGUUUAUUUGAUAGUACCUUACUACUUGGAUAACCGUGGUAAUUCUAGAGCUAAUACAUGCUGAAAACCCCAACUUCGGGAGGGGUGUAUUUAUUAGAUAAAAAACCAACGCCCUUCGGGGCUUCUUGGUGAUUCAUGAUAACUUUACGGAUCGCAUGGCCUUGCGCCGGCGACGGUUCAUUCAAAUUUCUGCCCUAUCAACUUUCGAUGGUAAGGUAUUGGCUUACCAUGGUUU
rnacentral:rRNA from 1 species